CUUGCCAACAUCUUGCUUCAACAUUAAAUCUGCAUCAACAUACAGAUAUUACAUGAGUGAUAAUUUCAGACACAGAAGCUAGCUUUUGUCACAAAUGUAUGCUUCCGUUCUCGUGAUCAUAAUAAGUUUCAGAACUGACAUUAUAUACUGACGACUUCUCAUCCCCUAGAUUACUAAACCUGACACGAAUGACCAAGAGCCAACAUAGAACUAGUCAAGCUAGAGUUCUCUCAAUAACAAUCCAAAGACAUCAACAAUCCAUUACACAAUCAAUUAAUCUCCUUAUGUUAGUUACCAAGUCAAGUGCUCAGAGGGAUUUAUGCAUACCAGGAUGCGACGUCGCGUGGAAUCUAUGAUUCAGGCUUUAAAAUGGAUUUACCAAAAUUUCAUGUGAGGUUGUUCAUCUUAGGGGAAGAGCCAUCGGCAAUGAAAAGCAUUGGGCAUCAUACCGAUGACGCGAAGUUGCUUCCUGCUCUAAAGGCUGCUCUUAACGAAGAUGAAUGGGAGCAGCUGAAGAAUUCAAAGUUGGGAGUGUUCAUCAAGUUUUGGUAGUUGAAAUUUGAAUGGGCGUCUAGGCUGGUUCAUUAUAUGUUAUGUUACCAGCUGGAUAUCAAGAAGAAGUAUGAGCUCUGGUGUCUUUUUGGUCCACAGCUGGCGAGGUUUUCCCUGAUUGAGUUCAAGCACAUCACUGGUCUAAACUGCGAAUAUAUCAAGAACCUGGAUAAUUCUACUGUAGAGGUGACAGAUGAGUUGGCUCGUUUCUGGGAGUUGAUGGGUUUGAAUAUUGAUGCUGGUCCAAGUAGCUUGCAAAUAAUAGCAACAUGUAAGAAAUUUGGAGAGUGGUCUCAGGAUGACCGCAUUCGCCUGGGCUACCUAGCCAUCUACACAGGAUACAUUGAAGGGAAGAAGAACUCAUCGCCUACACGGGCGAUGCCUGCAAGGCUAGUGAUGAAUUUACAUGAAUUUGAGACGUACCCAUGGGGGAGAUUGCUUUUAAGUGGUUGAUGGACUCUGUGAAGUGCAAAGAUUUGACAAGCAAUUGUUAUACCAUAGAUGGGUUUGUUCAAGUUCUCCAAGUUUGGAUCUACGUUGCUCUACCCGACUUUGCUGCAUCCUUUGGGAAGCCCAUACGAAACAGACCGACUCCCCCUUUGCUGGCUUACAAUGGACAAAGAGGAAUAAAAUGUGGCAGAGGGUCUCAACACACAGUAUCAUCAAUAGUAUAGCGGGAUGAUCGACUACCGCGAACUCGACGAUUUUUAUAUAUUAACGUAUAACAAAUUACUAAGUACUAUAAAAUAAGUAGUACUCCAGAUAUUUAAAACGAUAAAAUGGUCAUAAGCAGUCAUAUACAUUUAAGUAAAACCAACUGAACGAGCAUGUCUGUUGCGUUUGUGUAACUUAAACAAGUAUGUCCAUUUAUGUUAAAAUUCCGAGAAUCCUCGUUAUAUUAGUUAUACUAGUAUAACAUGUAUUAGUGUUACUAGUUGUAUCAGUAUGACAACACCGAAACAUGAUUGGUAUGUUACAAGUAAAAACAUGAGAAUACUUCAUGACGACUUUGGAACACUUCAUGACGACUUUGGACGACUCUCGGAAGACUUACGGAAGACUUCACGAAACGUGCUGUCUUCCUUAAGUCUUCUUAAAGUCUUCCUGAAGUCUUCUUAAAGUCUUCACGAAACGUGUUGUACUUGUUUUGUCUGUUUCAAUGAUGAUUAGGAAUGAUGAUGUUGUUUAAGUUUGUACUGUAUGAUGUUGUUUUAAGUUUGUACUCUAGACUAUGUGUUUCAAAAAUUAAGCUAUUUUCCCUUCUCUUAUUUAUAUACCUUUUAUAUAAAUAAAUUAGUUGUUAUAAAAAGUUUUAAUAUAUCAAUUUAGUGUUUUCGUUGAUGAAAAAAUCGUUUUACUAUAUCUUCAAUAAUAGUUUUCCAAUAACAUAUAUGAUGUUAUAUCGUUUUAAAAUCGGUUUUCAAUAAUAUAUAUGAUAAAGAAAAUAUUUAUAAAACUUAAAGGGAAAUUUUUUUUUUAUAUAUGAUGUUAUUUCAUAAAAAGGAAAGUUUAAAAAAUAAUCUUAAUAUUAAUGUAAAGAAUUAAUCUUGCUUUUUAGAAUAAUCGGUUAUGUUUUAAUGAAAUUGUACCUAUAACAAUUUAAUCAUAUCAUUAUUUUACAAUUUAACUUUUAUAUAUUAACAUAUAACAAAUUACUAAGUACUUUAAAAUAAAUAGUACUCCAGAUAUUUAAAACGAUAGAAAUGUCAUAAGCAGUCAUAUACAUUUAAGUAAGAGCAACUGAACGAGCAUGUCCGUUGCGUUUGUGUAACUUAAACAAGUAUGUCCGUUUAUGUUAAAAUUCCUAGAAUCCUCGUUAUACUAGUAUAACAUGUAUUAGUGUUACUAGUUGUACCAGUAUGACAACACCGAAACAUGAUUGGUAUGUUACAAGUAAAAACAUGAGAAGACUUCAUGAUGACUUUGGAAGACUGCAUGAUGACUCUGGACGACUCUCGGAAGACUUACAAAAGACUUCACGAAACGUGCUGUCUUCCUGAAGUCUUCAUGAAGUCGUCCCAAGUCAUCACGAUGUUACUUUUAUAUAAAUUACUUAAAUCUUAAUAUAUUUCGAUAUCUUUCAAUUUAAAAUAGAAGUAUCAAUAUUUAAAAAUUCUAAUAAAAUCUGAUGAAAAAGAUUACAUAAGACCUUAAUUAUCAAAAAAAUUGAACAUAAAUAAUAGUGAAAUGAAAAAACAAUCAAAAUGACCAAAUUGGUGUGUGUUUUUAUAGAGUUCUGAAAAAACAAUAUUUACUUAUAUGUGGCCGGCGAGUACCAGUCUGGUUGCCUAUAUAAGCGUCCAUAAAUUGUUCUCCCUACAUGUCGAUUUCGUGUCCUGGGUGCAACCGACACAUUAUCCCUUAUCCCUUUACUCUUUUUCUACUCUUCCUCACAUAGACCUUCAUUGGCUUCUGAAGGAGCUUAUCACCGACACGGAAUAGAUCAAUGAGCGUGUUUCGGAUUUCGAUUCUCAGAGCAAAGUCUUCAUCCGGCCUAAACCAAUUCUUGUUGAACUGUAUGAAUUGAAACAAACAUUUUCAUACAAGAGUACGGAGAUCUAUAUAAUCUGGUAUUAGGAAUAGGGUCUGAGAUAAACUCACCAUUCCAAGGUCUUUCUUUUUCAGCCUUUGAGGUGCCAUGAUACCACUCAAAUUACCCUAAAGAGUGUUACUCAUCAAAAGAGGUCGAGUUAUAGUACUAAGGGAUCGAAUCCACAAGGAGCUAGGAAACCGAUUAGAUCUAAACAAUUUAUAAUAAACUACGCUAAUAGAGUAUAAAGCAGUGAAAUAGCAAUUAAAUAAACAAAGCAGUAAACAAGUUGAACAAGUCAAUUUUUCAACUUGGCAAGGGUUGUUCGAUGGAAGGAUGGUUGCUAGAUCUAGGGUUUUUAUUCAGGUGUUGGAGAUUAUAAUUCCUAUAGGUACCUAUUUGUUGCAUGCAUGAUAUGUUAGAGCUCAACCGCUUAACUCAGUGAUCAGCUGUCGCAUGUUUCACUGGUUAACUCGCUAGAUCUCGUGUCUCAACGGUUAGUAUCUUGAUCACGAAAGAGUGUCGACCGAUGGUCCUAUUGGGACAUCAACCGAUACACCUUUACCUACGUCGACCGAUAGUCAGUUGAGGACAUCGAUCGACGGGUUCUAGCCAGGCCUAUGCGCGAGAUGAUUUGCCCUAUUAGGAUGCUAAAUUGGCGGUUAGCCAUCUCUAGCAAUCCUAAUAUGAUAGAUAUAUGUCAGGAUGGGAUAACAAGGAUGCUUGUGUAUGCAAUCCUAUGAUCAAUAUUCUAGUUAAUUACUCUAGAACAAGAAAUAAGUAUAGAUCUAUCAUGAAUAUCACAACAGGACAGAUCUAUAGUUUGGGGCUAAUCCCACAAACCUAUCUGAACCCUGGAUCUAACAGGUGGAUCUACUCAGACAUGAAAACAGAAAUCAUAGAUGAAUAGAUAGAAAAACUGAAAUGAAAUAGAUAAAAUAAAACCAAAGGAGUUCCAGGAGGACUCUGAUAGGAGUUCCUCCCUUCUCUCCUAACAAAACUAUGAAUCCAAGAAAGUGUGUAAAAAGUGUAGCCGUCAACAAUGGCUUAGAAAUAACAAAAAUAGGGUUUCUGGUCGUCUAAGGGCAUUCUGGUAAUUUUUGGUUACUUAUGGGUUUCACGCAGUCAUAAAAUAUACUAGGCACACGAUCUGGGAUCUCCAUCGAUCGACGUACAGAGUGCUGCAUUGAUCGACGUGGCUUCCUGUUCUCGGCAGCUUCCUCUCGCGAGGCAGACUGACCACUCUUCAGUAAAACGGGAAUAACUUCUGCUACAGAAUGCUGAUUGACCUGCGACCGGUGGCAUUGGAAAGCUAACUCAAAGAUAUAUCUUGUGUCAAAAUAUGGGCUAAAUCUAACGGUAGGAAGAUCUUCAUCCAUAGCUAAACAUCUGACACGUCUGUGCAACUCUGCACCUCCAAAGGCUCCAAAAGACUCCAAAAUCACCAUAUUUCUCCUAAACGUCCCUGAACCUGUAAAUACUCUAAAUAGACUUCAAAAUAUAAUAAUUUUAUCUUAAAAUACUUUAAAACACUUAUAGACCAUGAUUAAAAAUGGGUAAAAUAUAUGGUCUAUCAACUCCCCCAGACUUACCCUUUUGUUUGUCCUCAGGCAAAACCAAUAGGCAGUCUCUCUGAAAGAGGUUUGAAAACAGCAGGGACUCAAAAAAAUAUUUUAAAAACUCAGUCAUCAUCUUUCUAGUAGUCCAAACCAAAUCAUAGACAUCCUAACUUUAGAAGCACAUUAUACAAUAUCUUAGUAUAGCAACUGAUAUACCUUGGAUUUGACCCAUUUUCAUCCAUCGUAUAUAAGUAUUUUACUAUAUAUAGAUAUAUGUUUUCUACUCUUCUAGGUAUGUUUUAAGGUUCAGGUGCAUUUCGGAGUAAAGCUAUGACUUUGGAGCAUUUUGGAGCUUAAAGGACAUUUCA